GGGGGAUAUUUGCACAAUGGGGGGAAACCCUGAUGCAGCAACGCCGCGUGAGGGAUGAAGGUUUUCGGAUUGUAAACCUCUGUCCUUAGUGAAGAACAAAAUGACGGUAACUAAGGAGGAAGCUCCGGCUAACUACGUGCCAGCAGCCGCGGUAAUACGUAGGGAGCGAGCGUUGUCCGGAUUUAUUGGGUGUAAAGGGUGCGUAGGCGGCUAUGUAAGUCAGACGUGUAAUGCAGGGGCUUAACCCCUGAACUGCGUUUGAAACUGUGUGGCUUGAGUGGAGUAGAGGCAGAUGGAAUUUCCAGUGUAGCGGUGAAAUGCGUAGAUA
rnacentral:rRNA from 1 species